rnacentral:rRNA from 1 species
AGAGAGAGACAUGCGCGCAUAUCAAUAAGCGGAGGAAAAGAAACUAACAAGGAUUCCCUUAGUAACGGCGAGUGAAGCGGGAAGAGCUCAAAUUUGAAAUCUUCAAGGUUUUACCUUGACGAAUUGUAGUUUAAAGAAGUGUUUUCUGCUGAAGUUUUGGUAAAAGUUCUUUGGAAUAGGACAUCAUAGAGGGUGAGAAUCCCGUAUUUGACCAUUAUUUUCAGCUUUGUGAUACACUUUCGAAGAGUCGGAUUGUUUGGGAAUGCAGUCCAAAAUGGGUGGUAAAUUUCAUCUAAAGCUAAAUAUUGGCGAGAGACCGAUAGCGAACAAGUACCGUGAGGGAAAGAUGAAAAGAACUUUGAAAAGAGAGUUAAACAGUACGUGAAAUUGUCAAAAGGGAAGCGUUUGACACCAGUGUUGUUUUCUCGAAAAUCAAUUAAAAAUGGCUCGAUUUUGUAUUGCUUGAGACCUUAAAAGCUCACUGUACAUUUUUCGUGUCUUUUUUAAUGCACUUUUCGUUUAACAAGUCAACAUCAGUUUCUUUUGUUGUAAAAGGGUCAUUGGAAGGUGGCUUUCUUUUCGGAGAAAGUGUUUAUAGCCUUUGGCCUCUGCAAUCGGAGAGACUGAGGUCUGCAGCGUAGACUCUUCGGGGUUAGAUACAUUUGUGCUAAGUUAUAGCUUUUCAUAGACAACUUGUUGACUAUAAUUAGUCUUGUAGCUUACUCGUUUAUGCUAUUUUACCUACGCUUAGGAUGUUGAAGAUGUAGCACAUCAU